CAAGGCCAGGCGUGGCCUCUGCUCCAGCUUUCCUCUGUUUUGCGAUAAGGAAGAGUUGGCAAGUGACGCUGCGGGCAGCUGUCGCUUGUACACACAGGCGGUGCCACAGAAGAAGAACAAACAGUUUCAUCUGCUCCAAGGAAUUGUAACCCACCCAAGACAACGUACAGUUUCUUCUCUCUGGUGUCAAGAAUAUAAUUUCAACUUCAGAAGACAAUAGAUCUGUAACGAUUUCAGACAAAGACCUACAAAUGGAGAUUGAUAUCAGAGCUGUGACUCAGGUUGGCCGCCAGCUUGCAUUAAUUGGGGAUGAGUAUAACAGGGCCUGCACUGGCAAAAUGGAAGAUUCUCUUUUUCAUCUCACAAAAAGGGUAGCAGCCAAUAUUUUUCAGAGUUGUAUUUGGAACAGCUUUAAAAGUGUUAUGGAAAGUGUGGGGAGUUUCUUGAAAAGUGGCUGGAAAAAGACCAACCAUACUUCGAUUAUUUGGGUUCCUCUCAAGCAUGUGUGCCAGAAAUGGGCGCCAGCCACCCUGUUUGCUGUUUUGAUGUGGUGGCUGAUCACUUUUGAACCUCAGAACUAAUGUGAAGUUGCCAUUGAAGGUCAUUGCUGGACUCUGACCAAUAUAUAUCUCACCCAGGAGGUGGAAUUUGCUUUGUGUGUUUGUUUUUUUAAAGUUAUCUAUGAAACCCCUUUUUUCUAUUUAAACUGUAGGGUAGUGCUGGGUCACUGCUGUUUUCAUACUUUUAAAUAUAUACACAUAUAUAUAUUAAUCCUAGGUUGUUGCUGGGUAACUACCGGAAUUGCUUGUUUUUAAAUAUGUAUUUUCAGGUGAUUCAUGUCUGUCUUUUCUUAAUAAGAUGUCCACUUUGUGUUGUUUUAUACGAGGGAAGAUUUUUGAAAGACGACAGAAGGAAUGCUGGCCAUCCUUUUAAAAUAUUUGAAUAUGUCAUAGAAAUGAAAAUCUUAAGGCUUGAAUAAAAUUAACAUUUAUGACAUAA